rnacentral:rRNA from 1 species
UACGUAGGGUGCGAGCGUUGUCCGGAAUUAUUGGGCGUAAAGGGCUCGUAGGCGGUUUGUCGCGUCGGGAGUGAAAACCCGGGGCUUAACCCUGGGCCUGCUUCCGAUACGGGCAGACUAGAGGUAUGCAGGGGAGAACGGAAUUCCUGGUGUAGCGGUGAAAUGCGCAGAUAUCAGGAGGAACACCGGUGGCGAAGGCGGUUCUCUGGGCCUGUACUGACGCUGAGGAACGAAAGCGUGGGGAGCGAACAGG